rnacentral:misc_RNA from 1 species
UCUGUUUCCAAGUUACGACUA